UACGUAGGUGGCAAGCGUUGUCCGGAUUUACUGGGCGUAAAGAGCGCGCAGGCGGUCGUUCAAGUCGCGUGUGAAAGCCCCCGGCUCAACUGGGGAGGGUCACGCGAUACUGAUCGACUCGAAGGCAGGAGAGGGUAGUGGAAUUCCCGGUGUAGUGGUGAAAUGCGUAGAUAUCGGGAGGAACACCAGUAGCGAAGGCGACACUCUGGGCCGGUACUGACGCUGAGGAGCGAAAGCGUGGGGAGCAAACAGG
rnacentral:rRNA from 1 species